GCUGACUGCCGACCCCAAGGACCUCUGGGGUCAGCCUACGCCUUCAGCAAGCCCAAGGCGCAAUCCGUCAAGAUCUCAAACUCCUCGUUCAUCCUGCAGUUUGCUUCAGCGCGAUUUGUAAACAACUAUUUCGCUGGGUCAGGCAGCAUAAGGGCAUGAAAAACAGCUGACUGCCAGCUGAAGGACACUGAAUCCGGGUCACCAAGCAGCGUCCUCGACCUGAUGGAAGUGUUGGCAAACAUUGACGUGAGCGACAUCAUGGAAAUCCCCAGUGUGUUUGAGUGUGACGACCAGACCUGCCUUGCGACCAUACACCACGAUUCCGUACGGCGACAGGAUGGUGCAAUAACCUGAAUUUCCCGUCCUUCGGCAAGUCAUUCCGGGCCAAGAGUCGUCUGUUGAGGCCCUCCUAUGAAGGUGGGCUAUCAAAACCCCGAGCUACGUCAAUCACAGGUCAGCCGCUUCCCUCCCCUCGGCUAAUCUCUACGAAGAUGUACAACAAUGUCUCGGCUCCUCAUGUUCGCUACACCCUCAUGGUCAUGCAAUGGGG